rnacentral:misc_RNA from 1 species
UCUCCGUUGGUGAACCAGCGGAGGGAUCAUUACCAAGUAGUAUAACUAUGACCCCUUUAUGAACAUAUCUACCUGGUGCGUAAGGUGCGGACCUCUCUGUGUGAUGUCGCCGGCAGCAGAAUGAUCGCUUUACAACCGCGGAAGGCUAGUUAAGUAGUCUUUUUGUACUUUAACUCAUGAUCAUUAACAAAUUUUUCUGAAAAGCUAUUGUGAAUAACCUAUCAAAAUAAAUAAAACUUUCAACAACGUACCUCAUGGCUAUCGCAUCGAUGAUGAACC